CGUUGGAAAGAAAAAGCUUGUCCGCUCUGUUCCUGCUGAGUUGAACAAAGACCAUAAUCAAAUUUUGGAGUUGGCCCAGGCUCAAGGUUUUGUAACUGUUGAUGAGGUAGAGAGACAGCUUUCGUGGACAAUUAGGCGUGCCAUUGAUGCACUUGAUGCGUUGUUAAAUGAAGUUCUUGCUAUCAUUGGCCUUCAUCUUUUGUACUACUAAAUAUUUUUUUUUUGGCUUAUGUUGGUCACUUAUACGGUUGGAUGCAGUGGACUUAUAAAUCCUUACUGUUAGAUAUAUAUAAAGGUCCUGCUAUGAUUGAUGAUGGCCACAGAGAUGGCAGACAACUGUAUUGGUUUGCCUGUGUGUCUUCAAUCACCUCAUCAGUUGGAGUUGAUACUUAGCAUAAUCUUUCCUCUUUCAAUGAAAUUGUAUUAAAUCAAAAUGUCAUUCGUGGACACCCAAAAGAUGAAGUGCAAAAAGGUAUCAUAUAUCUCCUUUUCCACUUUUGCCA